rnacentral:lncRNA from 1 species
GGACGAUCUGUAAACACUGCUGUGUGUUCUGAUGGUGAAUGUUUGCAAGCUGUUUGCACAGCGUUACUCAUUUAUCCCCCCCGCCCAGCCCCUCCAAGAUCAGCCUCGGCUUUAUCGCUCCCGAUAAGCUGGUGUGUGAUCCGAGGCACAGCCACCAGCCAGAGCCGAAGGCAGGCAGGGGUCCCGAGUGCAUAGUUUGGGGGCAGCUCGGUUUCUUUCCUGAUAAGCCCGAGCCUCUUGCGGCAGUACAGUGCACACUCCUUUUAAACUGUAAUCAUAAUCCUCUUUGCAGCCGGCGCUGCUAUCCCCACAGGAAGCAUUAGCAAUAUCACAAAGUGCGGAGACUUCAUUGUUUUCCCCUAAUCUGCAAAGGGAACUGAGACAGGACAGAGGAAACUUUAACCUAUUCCAUGCCUCAGUGGCAAAUAAUUAGUUUCUUACUGAGUGAGAAAACGAGGGAAGCCUCUUAGUUAAGAUAAAGUAAGCACAAGGCUCGCAGGCUUAUCUUGCUCUGUGGAAUUCGGGAAAGGACAUGUCCUUGAAUUCGCCUGUCUGGCGUGCCCGGAUUUUGUAUUUGGGAGUAAUGAGUCUAUGAGAGCUGCCCUAAGUGAUUGCUGGGUAUGAGACGCCUCUUGCCAGGAAAUGCAGUAGCCAUACUUUUGUUUAAGGACCUGAACAAAAGGCUCUGGAUGCUUAAUAAUGUGCAAAUUUGGGUGGGUGGGAUAUGGAGAAGGUUAAUAGGGCAGGCUAACAGAGGAGGAGCUGAGUUUGAGAGAGGAGGAGAAGAAUGCCGAAGACAUGGCAGCAGACAGAGGGAAGCAAAACAGAAAAGGCAGCCCCUUUUUGCCAUGUUAAAGUUAACUAAGUCCCCACAGAGAUUUUUGGGGAGGCCAAGGAGUGUGAGAUUUGUGAUUCAGUGUGUGGCUUUGUCACAUGCCUACCCAGGCUGAAGAUGAUAGAAAUCUUGGUGCUAUCUCACUUCAGGUUGGGUAAGUAUAUUAUGUUUGUUGCUUUGUGGGAUUUUCUUUUAAACUAGGCUUCUUAAAUGAAGAGCAGCAAUAUUUAAGCUUGUGUGUAAAUAAGCAGAGAACCCUGGCUUCAUCUUGUCUAAUCUGUUUAACCUUCAUCAACC